rnacentral:tRNA from 1 species
GCCCGAUUAGCUCAGCUGGUUAGAGCGUCGUACUAAUAUCGGUUCGUCUGAUAUCAAGUCCAUGCGAAGGUCAACAGUUCAAUCCUGUUAUUGGGCA